AACGCGAAGAACCUUACCAGGUCUUGACAUCCUCUGAAAACCCUAGAGAUAGGGCUUCUCCUUCGGGAGCAGAGUGACAGGUGGUGCAUGGUUGUCGUCAGCUCGUGUCGUGAGAUGUUGGGUUAAGUCCCGCAACGAGCGCAACCCUUGAUCUUAGUUGCCAUCAUUAAGUUGGGCACUCUAAGGUGACUGCCGGUGACAAACCGGAGGAAGGUGGGGAUGACGUCAAAUCAUCAUGCCCCUUAUGACCUGGGCUACACACGUGCUACAAUGGACGGUACAAAGAGCUGCAAGACCGCGAGGUGGAGCUAAUCUCAUAAAACCGUUCUCAGUUCGGAUUGUAGGCUGCAACUCGCCUACAUGAAGCUGGAAUCGCUAGUAAUCGCGGAUCAGCAUGCCGCGGUGAAUACGUUCCCGGGCCUUGUACACACCG
rnacentral:rRNA from 4 species